rnacentral:rRNA from 1 species
AGUGAACGCUGGCGGUAGGCCUAACACAUGCAAGUCGAACGGCAGCACAGUAAGAGCUUGCUCUUACGGGUGGCGAGUGGCAGACGGGUGAGGAAUACAUCGGAAUCUACUUUUUCGUGGGGGAUAACGUAGGGAAACUUACGCUAAUACCGCAUACGACCUACGGGUGAAAGCAGGGGAUCUUCGGACCUUGCGCGAUUGAAUGAGCCGAUGUCGGAUUAGCUAGUUGGCGGGGUAAAGGCCCACCAAGGCGACGAUCCGUAGCUGGUCUGAGAGGAUGAUCAGCCACACUGGAACUGAGACACGGUCCAGACUCCUACGGGAGGCAGCAGUGGGGAAUAUUGGACAAUGGGCGCAAGCCUGAUCCAGCCAUACCGUGUGGGUGAAGAAGGCCUUCGGGUUGUAAAGCCCUUUUGUUGGGAAAGAAAAGCAGCAGGUUAAUACCCCGCUGUUCUGACGGUACCCAAAGAAUAAGCACCGGCUAACUUCGUG